rnacentral:lncRNA from 1 species
CUUGUCAAAAAAAAAGGAACUGAAUUUGCUUCAGUCUGUUUCUAAAAGGCUAAAAGGUUUAACGUUUAACGUCGUGCGACCAUUCAAUUUCCAAAAAAAGGUUUAACUAAACCACCAGCAAGAAGAAAAGACAUGUAAGUACGCUCUACACUUGAGUUUUGCCGGUUGAUAGAAUGUGGCAAUUGGAUCAGUCUGCCACUGUGGCAAUUGCCACAGCCAUUUGGCCCGUCAAACAUCUAAUUGAAGUCUCUAUUAUCAGACAAUGGAUGAUAAGCGGCGUGAAGACUUUGCGAAAGCUUUAUACGUGCUCGCCAACCAGGGCCCAAAGGAGCAGCGGCCGCCACGGUGUGAGCCCAGAGUGCAGCCGGUUAAUGGCAUUGUGCAGCCCCCGGUGAUGCCGCCACCCAAUCGUAAGGGAAGGGUCACCAAUUUCCUGUUGAAACUGAAAACCGCUGUGAAUGCGAUGUUGCGCAACCCUUCCUCGCUGCACUUUCGCCAUCCUGUCAAUGCUGUAAACCUGAAGAUCGGGGACUACCACGAAAAAAUCGCAAACCCCAUGGACUUGAACACAAUCAAGAAAAGAUUUGAGUACACAUACUACUGGGGCGGAGCAGACGUCCUGGAGGACAUUCUACUGAUUUUCGACAACUGCCGAACCUACAACAGUCCGGAUUCGCCCGUUUUUAAAGCUGCUGUCACCCUGUGCGAAGUCUUUUGGCUGCGCAUGGCGAAAAUGCAGAGGGAAUUGCACAAUGAGUGCAAGGCCGAGGCCAAGACCAGGUGUUCGCGGAAGGCCGCCAUUCCAUUGCCGAUAAAGAUUAAGGUGGAAAACAAGGAUGAGCCCCAGCUAAAGGCAGACGAUCCACCGCCCUCAUUUGAGGCCGUUCCCAAUCUACAACCGAAACCGUUCACGCCCGUGACACCGGCCCGUCGUGGUCGCGGCCGACCUCCGGGGCCGCGAAGUCUUACCCGAGCUGACGCCGAUAGAAAUGCUAUUAUCUCGCAAGCAUUUCCAGCGCUUCAGCGACCCACAAACUUCCUGAAGAACUACGGAACUCGAGUGAAAGUCGAACCACUCCCAGUGGAACCAGUGGAACCAGUGGAACCAUUGGAACCAGUCGAACCAGUCCUUGAUCGCCUCAGCUUAAAGGCUAUCCUGAAACCUUUUGAUCUGAAGAUCGAGCGCACAUACAGCCAGACACUGGUCAAUUCUCUACGUCGUUGUACGGACUCUUGGCCAUUCAACAAUUCGUCGAUCUGGACGCAUUUUGGACAAAAUCUAAAUUAUGACUUCCAUGAUGAGCCUCUGGAUUGGAACAUUCUGGAGAAGAUGCUGGCGGGCGAGCAGUUUAAGGGCUGGAACUGGAUGCUGAUUCAGUUACACGGAAUGCUGCAGAACGCAAUGUCCUGCUUCACCGAAUGCUAUUCGGUCCGCAAAGCGACACAGAAGACCUUCGAAACGUUUGUGGAAAUGAUACCUAAGUAUGAAGAACGCAUGGCGCACGUAAAGGCGACGGCUCAUGAAGAUGUUCGUUUGAAACUUGACGCCAUGACACCAUCUCAAAAAGAGGAACUCCUAAAAUAACUUGAAUUAUACAAGAAAGCAAACAUAAAUCAUUCUAAUUGGGUUUGUAACAGAAAUUUGAAUAAGGAACUAAGGCGCCAUCUAACGUGUUCGUUGCGAAGUACUCACUGCAUGCUUUCUAUCGAUAAUUUCAUUUAUCGCACAAAUAUACCGAUAAUAUAUUCUUUCUUUCUGGCAGUGAUGAAAUAUUUUACAAGAAUAAAC